UACAGAGGUCUCAAGCGUUGUUCGGAUUCAUUGGGCGUAAAGGGUGCGUAGGCGGCGGUGCAAGUCCGAUGUGAAAUACCGGGGCUCAACCCCGGAACUGCAUUGGAUACUGCAUUGCUAGAGUGCUGGAGAGGGAACUGGAAUUUACGGUGUAGCAGUGAAAUGCGUAGAGAUGUGGAGGAAUACCGAUGGCGAAGGCAGCCCCCUGGGAUAACACUGACGCUCAUGCACGAAAGCGUGGGGAGCAAACAGG
rnacentral:rRNA from 1 species